rnacentral:rRNA from 1 species
AGCAGCCGCGGUAAUUCCAGCUCCAAUAGCGUAUAUUAAAGUUGUUGCAGUUAAAAAGCUCGUAGUUGAAUUUCGGGAUCAAUAUAUCGGUCGUGCCUCCGGUAUGCACUGGUAUUAUUGAUUUCUACCUUCUGACGAAUCAUGAUGUCAUUAAUUUGGUGUCAUGGGGAAUCAGGACUGUUACUUUGAAAAAUUAGAGUGUUUAAAGCAGGCACACGCUUGAAUACAUUAGCAUGGAAUAAUGAAAUAGGACGUUUGACCCUAUUUUGUUGGUUUCUAGGAUCGACGUAAUGAUUAAUAGGGAUAGUUGGGGGCAUUAGUAUUCAAUUGUCAGAGGUGAAAUUCUUGGAUUUAUUGAAGACUAACUACUGCGAAAGCAUUUGCCAAGGAUGUUUUCAUUAAUCAAGAACGAAAGUUAGGGGAUCGAAGACGAUCAGAUACCGUCGUAGUCUUAACCAUAAACUACGCCGACUAGGGAUCGGAUGAUGUUAAUUUUUAAUGUACUCAUUC